CAUGGGAGGUGGUUCCACGGUGCUUUGUCCUAAUACCGACCUUCUUUGGCCGUUCGGGAAGCUCAACGGUCUUGAACCUGAUGAUAUCCGCGAGACGGCUUACGAGAUCUUCUUCACGGCUUGUCGGUCAUCACCAGGUUUUGGUGGUAGGACUGCUCUCACGUUCUACUCUACGCACAACAACAACGACAAUCAUGGAGAAGCAGGAGGAGGAGGAGGAGGAGGAUCAAAUGGUGGUGGCUCUGGUUCAGGGUUUGGGUUUUCAGGGAGGAAAGAGGUGGUGACAACCCCUACAAGCCGGGUUAAACGGGCUUUAGGGUUGAAGAUGCUUAAAAGGUCACCGUCUAGGCGAAUGUCUACGAUAGGAGUGGCUGGAGGAGCCGGGACAAACUCGUUAUCACCUGGUGGUGGAAGUGGCUCAGGACACAUUAACAUUAGCCCCGGAACCGGGUUCUUGACGGUUCAGCCUACUCGGCCUAGAAGACCGUUAACUUCGGCGGAGAUUAUGAGGCAACAAAUGAGGGUAACAGAACAGAGUGAUAGCCGGCUUCGAAAAACCUUGUUGAGAACGCUUGUUGGUCAAACUGGUAGAAGAGCAGAGACGAUAAUCUUACCGCUAGAGCUUCUCCGACACUUGAAAACAUCAGAGUUCGGUGAUGGUCCCGAGUACCAGCUCUGGCAACGAAGACAACUCAAAGUUCUUGAAGCUGGUCUUCUCCUACACCCAUCGAUUCCUCUAGACAAAACCAACAACUACGCAAUGCGUUUAAGAGAAAUCGUUAGACAAAGCGAGAACAAACCCAUCGACACAAGCAAAACCUCAGACACAAUGAGAACACUAUGCAACGUAAUCGUGUCUUUAGCUUGGCGCAGCACUAAUGGAAACCCAUCCGAUGUUUGUCACUGGGCUGAUGGUUUCCCUCUCAGCAUUCAUCUUUACGUAGCAUUAUUGCAGUCGAUAUUCGAUGUAAGGGAUGAGACAUUGGUGCUAGAUGAAAUCGAUGAGAUGCUAGAACUAAUGAAGAAAACUUGGUCAACACUAGGGAUCACAAGACCAGUGCAUAAUCUAUGUUUCACUUGGGUUUUGUUUCAUCAAUACGUAGUAACGUCACAAAUGGAACCUGACUUGCUAGGCGCAUCACACGCUAUGCUGGCUGAAGUUGCUAAUGACGCAAAGAAACUUGACCGCGAAGCUCUCUAUGUAAAACUACUGACCUCAGUAUUAGCCUCUAUGCAAGGAUGGACCGAGAAAAGAUUGUUAAGCUACCAUGACUAUUUCCAAAGAGGCAAUGUGGGGUUGAUAGAGAAUCUUCUCCCAUUAGCGUUAUCAUCAUCAAAAAUCUUGGGAGAGGAUGUGACAAUCUCUCAAGGGAAAGGCGACGUUAAAUUAAUUGAUUAUUCAGGAGACCGUGUGGAUUAUUACAUAAGAGCGUCUAUUAAAACCGCAUUUUCUAAGGUGAUAGAGAACACAAAGGCUAAAAUCUUAGCUACAGAGGAAGGAGAAGAAGCGGCUGCAACACUACUACAUCUAGCUAAGGAAACAGAGGAGUUAGCGUUACGAGAACGUGAAUGUUUCAGUCCAAUACUCAAGAGAUGGCACUCAGUCGCUGCAGGUGUUGCCUCGGUGUCGCUUCACCAAUGCUAUGGCUCGAUCUUGAUGCAGUAUUUGGCAGGGAGAUUUUUUAUCUCAAGAGAUACUGUUGAGGUUUUGCAAACGGCAGGGAAGCUAGAGAAGGUUUUGGUGCAGAUGGUGGCUGAAGAUUCAGAAGAAUUCGAUGACGGUGGAAAAGGGUUGGUUCAAGAAAUGGUUCCUUAUGAAGUUGAUUCGAUUAUUUUGCGGCUUUUGAGGCAAUGGAUUGAAGAGAAUCUAAAGAGAGUUCAAGAAUGUUUGUUUAGAGCAAAAGAAACUGAAACAUGGAACCCUAAGUCCAAAUCAGAACCUUACGCACAAUCUGCAGGAGAGUUGAUGAAGCUAGCUAAGGAAAUAAUUGAUGAGUUCUUCGAAAUCCCCAUUGGGAUUACAGAGGAUCUAGUUCAUGAUCUUGUUGAAGGAUUGGAACAACUUUUCCAAGAAUACACUACCUUUGUUGCAUCUUGUGGUUCGAGACAGAGUUACAUUCCUACAUUACCUCCUCUUACAAGAUGCAACAGAGAUUCAGGAUUUCUUAAACUAUGGAAGAGAGCUACACCCUGUACCGCCGUCAGAGAAGAUUUCAGCCACGUUGCACCAGCGUUAUCCGACGGCCACCAUGCACGCCCAUCCACAAGCCGCGGGACGCAACGUCUUUACAUUCGUCUCAACACACUACAUUUCCUAAGCUCACAUAUCCACUCACUAAACAAAACACUCUCUCUGAACCCGAGGGUACUCCCCGCAACCCGAAAACGUUACCGCCACCGAAACAACAACUCUUCUUCCUACUUCGACUUCACCUACGCUGGCAUCGAAUCCGCUUGCCAGCACGUUUCAGAAGUCGCGGCUUACAGACUAAUCUUCCUCGACUCGAACUCUGUUCUCUACGAGAGUCUUUACGUAGGAGAAGUCGCGAACACGAGGAUCAGACCGGCUUUGCGGAUCAUGAAACAGAACUUAACGCUAAUGUCAGCGAUUCUUGCGGACCGUGCUCAAGCGCUGGCGAUGAGGGAGGUUAUGAAGUCGUCUUUCGAAGCGUUCUUGAUGGUCUUGCUCGCUGGAGGGUUUUCGAGAGUGUUUUACAGAUCGGAUCAUAGUUUGAUCGAGGAAGAUUUCGAGAGCUUGAAGAGGGUUUUUUGCACUUGUGGUGAAGGGUUGAUACCUGAGGAUAUUGUUGACAGAGAUGCGGAGACUGUGGAAGGUGUGAUUCAGCUGAUGAGUCAACCUACAGAACAACUUAUGGAAGAUUUUAGUAUUGUGACGUGUGAAACAAGUGGGAUGGGGAUGGUUGGGUCAAAACAGAAGCUACCGAUGCCUCCGACUACAGGAAGGUGGAACCGGUCUGAUCCGAACACUAUCUUGAGGGUUCUUUGUCAUAGAAACGACCGUGUUGCUAAUCAGUUUCUUAAGAAGUCAUUUCAAUUGCCUAAAAGGAGGUGACAACUUGAAAUGGAGAAAGCAAAGGAAAAGAAAAGAAUUCAACUCUUAUAAAGACAAAAUUGUUUGUGUUGAAGUUGAAGAGUAAAACGAGUUUGUGGGAUAUUUUCGAUGAAUAUUUGUUCAUUUUUUUUAUUAGACUAGGGCCG